GCUGUUUUCGCCCCGGACGAUCACACUUUUUCACAGCUCAGAUUGGCAUGUUGGUGAACUUAUUAGCUUAGAUUUCACGUUAUUCAUGCCUACAUGAGCUGCAUACAACUGCUCUAAUCGGUAGGAUGUGGACGGACAUUGCAUUCAUUCCCAUUCAGCCGUUGGACUGAACCUGUACUGUCUGUAACACAGUAUGGAUGGUCAAUAUGAAGCGAGCUUCAUUGAAUUCCUCCAAGAGCUCUGUACUCCGUUCUGAUCAUUUUGAAGAUGGUUGCUUUGACAGGACUGGGCAAGUGACUCGUCUUAGACAGGAUGCUGUCCCAACCAUGUUUGAUUUCCUGCCUCGUCUUCAGAAGAAUUCACCCAAGCCAAGGAAUUCCCCGAAAGAAAGACGUUUUGAUUCAGCAAACAACCUCCCAGAUACUGCAAAGUCUUCAGCACCUUCAUUUCUCGAGGACCACUCCUACUCAAUAUCAGAAAGUCCAAGAGGGGUAAAGUGGAAGAUAACAGCAAUAAUGGACUGUAUUAAGAACUUGGAGAAGAGGCUGAAAACCACACACGAGAAGUCCCGCCGUGUACAUUACUUGGACAAACAUAACUUGCAAAACUUUACAACAAAUAAUUACCCCAAUGUGCAUUCUGAUUAUUUAAAAUAGCUCAAUGAAAUAGUUUAUCAUUGGGCAUGUAACAAAAGUGAAUUCAUUAAAUUUGAACGUGUUGCAAAAAUGAUGUCUUACAGAAUAUUCAUUCUGACUUAGAAUGUCAGAAGAGAAAAAAGUUUGUGAAAAGUAGGAAUGACGGCAAGAUGACAGAAGAAUAGAACAGGAUAGAGCAAGGGGGACAGAUAAAGGACAAGUCCACUCCAAAAAUUGUUGAUAUGAAUAAAAAGAGAAAAAUCCAACAAGCAUAACACUGAAAAUUUGAUAAAAAAUCGGAUGUAAAAUAAGAAAGUUGUGACAUUUAAAAAUUUUGCUAAAUUUUACAAAAGAGUUAUAUGCACAUUCUGUACACAGUCAGUAUGCAAAUGAGGAGACUGAUGACGUCAUCCACUCACUAUUUCAUUUGAUAUAUAGAAUAAGGUAUAUUCUAAUUUUCUCCUUGUCAUGUUAAACAAAAUUUUAUUCCUCCCUGAUCAUGUGGAAUUAGCAUUAUUCAAUACUUUUUUGGUUCAGUAAAGUUUGUCCUUAUGGUAAAAUCUGUAAAAAAUGAAAUAUUGUAUAAUUCAAACAAUAAAAAACAAAAUAAACAGUGAGUGAGGGACAUUAUCGACUGUCUCAUUUGCAUGUCACUGAGUUGUGAAUAUUUUUGUUUUGUGAAAAAUAAGUGAAAAUUUAAAAUGCCAUAACUUUCUUAGUUUACAUCCCAUUUUGAUGAAAUUGUCAGCGUUAUGCUAGUUUGAUUUUUCUCAAUUUAACUGAACCAACAAUUUUCUUGGGUAGACUUGACCUUUACUAAUGAGCUGUUGGAUAGAGACAAAAAGAUGAAUUGAGAUUGAGGGUGAUAGAGAAAGAGAGACAGGUGUGGGGGAGCCUUUGAUGAAUGCCUGAGAAAGCGAACAUUACCAUAAUUUUUUUUUGAGGAUUUGGACAGUAAUGAAUAGUACAUGUUUUUUCUGUUGGUAUUUCUCAAAAUAUGUGUAUGUCGUAUGUAAUGAAAUGGGUAUAAUCCUUUUGUAAGAUACACUCAUUCAGAAAAUAUUA